rnacentral:rRNA from 1 species
GGGCCCGCACAAGCGGUGGAGCAUGUGGUUUAAUUCGAUGAUACGCGAGGAACCUUACCAGGGCUUAAAUGUAGGUUGCAUGAUCUAGAGAUAGAUCUUUCUUCGGACUACCUACAAGGUGCUGCAUGGUUGUCGUCAGCUCGUGCCGUGAGGUGUCAGGUUAAGUCCUAUAACGAGCGCAACCCCUGUCGUUAGUUGCCAUCGAGUAAUGUCGGGAACUCUAACAAGACUGCCGGUGCAAACCGUGAGGAAGGUGGGGAUGACGUCAAAUCAUCACGGCCCUUACGUCCUGGGCUACACACGUGCUACAAUGGCCGGUACAGAGAGCAGCCACUACGCGAGUAGGAGCGAAUCUCAUAAACCUUUUCGUAGUCCGGAUUGGAGUCUGCAACUCGACUCCAUGAAGUCGGAAUCGCUAGUAAUCG